AUUUAGUGAAAGGACAAGUUUUAAUUACAUCUGUGUACAGCAAUAGGUCAAAAAUGAAUUUGGGUGUUCGCAUACAACAUUUAGAUUGUUUUUCUCCAACUAGUGGCUGAAGACGUUGAGAAGGGAUACUCUUGUUUUAACGAGUUUCCUUGAAAGGUGUUCAACACCUACUUCUAGAUCCUCAAUGCAUGUCUCCAAAUUUUCCAUAUGGCUGUGAAAAUUCUCAACAGACAAAGGCUUGUUAUUAAGGAUUGAUUGCAAAGUUGAGUCCAUCUUUACAAAUUCAUUUGUGUCUUCUUGAGAGUCACAGUUUAUUCUAUCAGGCUGCAUCAGCUUAGAUAUUAUAGACCAUCUUUUCUGCUUUGAUUGACACUUAGAGUCAGAGACAAACAGCAACAAGGACUCUAAGGACCUCAUGGUGACUGCUUCUGCUUCUUUUAAGAUUCCAAGAAUAGACAAAGUCUCAUUAACCAUUAACUCGCUGUUAUUUCCUUUCAAAUUUCCUAAGGCCUUUCGAAUCACCUUCUUCAUCUUCUCUUCCUAGAUGCCAAGUAUUUUCCACCCUCAACUGUGAAUUCAGUGUCCGCACCCUUUCUUCGAAUAACUGAAUAAACCAUGUCAACGCUUUCCUUUGAUUGCAAGAGGCAAUCUUGUGCUGUACUACAGAUAUCAAGGAGUGUCAGUGACCCUUCUAACAGAACAUCAACAUACUUUUCACUGCAUUCUCGUGCAAAGGCUUGUCUGAUACUGGGUAACUGGAACAACUUAUCGGCAUAGUCAUGCAAAUCCUGCAAGCCAUUUAGUUUUUGGCUUAUUGAAGAUGAUGACAGACAAGUGCUGGUGGCUUCGGAGUCUUUCAUUCUCUGCAAGUGAUCCUGGAAUUGUGAUAAAAGUGGGUGAGGUGAAGAGGGCAAACUGUUGCACCGAAUGUGCAGAGACUUCUUUGUGUUUGUUUCCAUUUACUCUUGUUAGAGAAGAUAAUAGAGGGAUACAGAAGUAGGAGAUGAUAUGCACAACUUGUUCUGAAGUCUGAGUCUUGGUGUUUUCCAUCAGCUCCAUAUAUAACAAAUGAAUUGAGGGAGACAAGUAGAAUAUUUGUGUUCCUAGAUGUCACCAAAGGAGCUAGCAAUUAUACCAUCUUGUAUGCAUUGUAAUGGAAGCUUUUGUCAGGAAGUGGAGAAAAUGGUUAUAUUCUUAGACAGCAUCGAGGCAACAAACCUGUCUGUUGAACUAAAGACAACACGAAUUUUCAACUUCGGUUAAGAAACAAGGACUAAAAAGGUGUAGGGCAAACUUACUACAGAUGAUGCAGGCACCAUACAGUAUCUGAUAAAAAGGAACUUGCUUGGGUGAGAAAUACACAAAGCAGUUUGAAGACAUUGGUGAACAAAGGAGACAAUUAGUAACAAAAAAGAAGCAUCCAGUAGUUGUAGGCUUGGAGCCUAGCUGCAUAUGGAAUUCAAGUAUAAAAAAGUAAAAACCAAUCAGUGUAAGUUACAGAAUAAUAAAAAGCACAUGAAAUAAAAAAAAUGAUUGUUCAAGAGCAAGGUUCACCAAGCCCGAUUAGGGCUGGAAGUGCAGCAGCCUGUUAUCCCUCCACUGUCAAGAGCCGAAGGUUAUCGCUGCUCUGUGAAACCAGCCUCACGCUGUGCCCUCCUGUCUAGAAACCAGGAAACCUAUGCCUUCGCAAAGGUCCCUUGGCUCAACUCCUGACUUGGAGUGGGCAAGCCAGCAAGAUGCAGCUUCCAGACCAGCUUAGCAAGCCAUAGCCUUGUUCAAUCACCUUAAAGCCCCCACUCAGGUCACAAGCUGACGUUACCCAGCUCGGCGAACUGACAUGAUUGUCAGAAGAUUUAUAAAGACUAAUUUUUCUAAUAUUCUGAACAAUGUGGGACUUCCAGAUGGCAAUAUGAAGUGCGUAGAGUCUUGAGUUGGAAACUGAGGCUUGUUCCUUUCCGUCUAUUUUCUCCAUGGUAUGAUAUGAUACAUCGAAAUACGUUAUAACCUUGUAACCCAAAAGGUUUCAAUGAGUCAUUUUAAGUUGAUGAGAAAAACAUAAAAGUGGCAUUUUGAAGUGUUGAUUCCACUUUGAUUAAUACCC
rnacentral:sRNA from 1 species